rnacentral:rRNA from 1 species
CCCUUAGAUGUUCUGGGCUGCACGCGUGUUACAAUCGGGAGUACAACAAGAUUACAAAUCCUAGUGGAUGAGUGGUUCUUCGAAAUUUUCUGAAGACUGGGAUAGUUGAUUGAAAUUAUUCAACUCGAACGAGGAAUUCCUUGUAAUUGUAAUUCAUUAUAUUGUAAUGAAUACGUCCCUGCCCUUUGUACACACCGCCCGUCGCUCCUACCGAUUGAACGAUCCGGUGAAUUAUUUGGAGUAGCUCUGGAAGUUGCAGAACUUCCUAUGUCACGAAAUUUUGUAAACCUUAUCGUUUAGAGGAAGGAAAAGUCGUAACA